ACACACUUAGACCAACGUCACCAAACCCUUCGCACGCUUACAGUCUAAGCUCCAUCGCACAACCAAACGCCUACGCACGCCGUCACAGCCGCCUCCGCUGCCAGGAAAGCCUCCCCGUCGUCUUCGCUCCCACCACUGGAGUCGCCGUUUGCUCUCCGGCCUCUGUAGUUGAAGUUCGUCGGCCUGUUCUCCGAAGCUGUCGCACACUCGCACUGAACUACUGAAGGUCGAAACCCUCGUCCUAAACCCUUGAGUCGCCGUCUGCUUUCCGGCCUCUGCAGCAGAAGUCUAUCGCCCUGUUCUACGAAGCCGUCGCACUGAACUACUGAAGGCAGAAGCUGUCGCUCUGAGUGGCCGUCUGCUCUCCGGCCUCCGCAACCGCAAGCUGCACAGCCGUGUUUCUUGCUCAAGCACUGAGAUUCAUUGAGACAGCAAGAGCUAGGAUUGAGAAAGCUAGGGACAACUGCUUGACUUUUGAUCAUUAGCAACUCUCAGAGCUCUUCUUGGCGAGAACACGAAACAGUGGUGGAGAAGUGUAGAAAGUUUUGCAGAACUUACAUUCAUCUAUACCAUCAAGAAAUUGCAUUUGCAGGUAUACCCAUCAUCUACACUUGAUCAAAGUCAUUGAAGUAGAAGGCUGUGGAUGCUGCAUUGAUCACAGCCAUAGAAGAAGUGCCGAAUUUGAGGGCUUAUUUGGGUGCAUCGAGCAUACUUAAGUAGUAUAUAUUUUUGUUGUAUGGUAUUUAUAGUCUAUUGUUGGAAGUACUAUGAACAUGACUAUUUUUGUUGUAAAUAUUUUUGAUGUUUAAAUAUAU